UAGCAUGGACUAAAAAUCAUAAAAUAGAAUUGUAUUGUUUAUUUCUAUAUUUUUCAGCAAACGUGGUCAUUUGUCACGAGAAAUGUGUUUGUUUUGAACACAAUUUACUUUCUUAUCGCAUUCCCGUGUUCGUCGUUGCAAUCACCUCACGCUGCACGUUGCCGCUUCUUUGCAUCUUUAGUUUUGAUCGCAGGUAACGUGUCAAAUGCUAUUCGCGCCCAAGGUCGAGUGCUAUCGUCGCGAAGGCUUUGCGCAUCUCUUGCUUUCUUAUCACAAACUGUCGCGUCGUUGCUUGCUCGGCUACAGCAUGCGCUAUCGAUGGCUUGCAGGCAGUCUUGUGCCGGUCACUGCUUGAUCCAGGCGUGUUCAUACCAACUUGCUUUGUUUGUUUGGACUUCUGCUUUCUAAAUUUUCAAUAUAUUUCAAUAUAUCCAUUGAUUAAUUGUGUAUACUAGAGUAAUGUUAUUUACUACUUGCGCGUUUAAUGUACAUUAUUGCACAAAAGUGGUAGAUAUUUGUUCGCGUUUCGUGUGCAUACUAGUGCAAGUUAUAUGGUUUGGUGUCGGUCGCUAAAUGAAUCUGGUACAGAAUGGCGGCCCCCCAUAUAGAUUUGUUCAUCAUUAUUCCUGGCACUUGCUGUGCUCUGGUAACUGGACACAAAUUUAUUGCCUCACAACGUACCUCAAAUUGACCGCCACACUUUGCUCUUUUUUCGUUUUUUCAAAACUUUCGGUUGAAAACGGGUCAUUUAUGGAGAAUCCAUCAUGAUAUUUUUAUUUUUAUUUCUGCAUCUUUACCUCUAACAUUUAGCCUCUAAUCAGGUCAAGUUAUAUUGAGUAUCCAUUUUUAUUUCUACACUUUUACCUAUCUGUAUACAGAUCAGUGGUUGUGGGUCAGUUAUUUUUGGUUGUAGCAUGAAUUGCCAUAUAUUUAUUGUUUGUUUACUAUAAUAAACAUAAUUUAUUUGCAUAUAA